AUGAGCCCCCUCCCCGCCGGCAACGGCAGCGCCUGGGGGGGCUCCGGUAACUGCAGCGGGGCCGGCAGCCUGGGCCGGCAGUGGGUGCUGGGGACCGCCAUCAGCCUCACCGUCCUGGUCACCGUGGCCGGUAACUUGCUGGUGAUUGUGGCCAUCGCCAAGACGCCGCGGCUGCAGACCAUGACCAACGUCUUCAUCACCUCGCUGGCGUGCGCCGACCUCAUCAUGGGCUUGCUGGUGGUGCCGCCGGGGGCCACCAUCCUGCUGAGCGGCCACUGGCCCUACGGCACGACGGUGUGCGAGCUGUGGACCUCGCUGGACGUGCUGUGUGUGACGGCCAGCAUCGAGACGCUGUGUGCCAUCGCCGUGGAUCGCUACCUGGCCAUCACCUCCCCCCUGCAGUACGAGGCGCUGGUGACCAAGGGCCGGGCCCGGGCCGUGGUGUGCCUGGUGUGGGCCAUCUCUGCCUUCAUCUCCUUCCUGCCCAUCAUGAACCACUGGUGGCGGGACGGGGCGGACGAGCGAGCGGCGCGCUGCUACGACGACCCCCGCUGCUGCGACUUCGUCACCAACGUGACCUACGCCAUCAUCUCCUCCACCAUCUCUUUCUACGUGCCCCUGCUCGUCAUGAUCUUCGUCUACGUGCGGGUUUUUGCCGUGGCCACGCGGCACGUCCAGCUCAUCGGCAAGGACAAGGUGAGGUUCCUGCAGGAGCCCCCCAGCCCCGCGGGCAGGAGCAGCCGGCGCAGGCGGCCCUCCCGCCUGCUGGCCAUCAAGGAGCACAAAGCGCUCAAAACGCUGGGCAUCAUCAUGGGCGUCUUCACGCUCUGCUGGCUGCCCUUCUUUGUGGCCAACAUCAUCAAGGUCUUCUGCCGCUCGCUGGUGCCGGACCAGCUCUUUCUUUUCCUCAACUGGCUGGGCUACAUCAACUCGGCCUUCAACCCCAUCAUCUACUGCCGCAGCCCCGACUUCAGGAGCGCCUUCCGCAAGCUGCUGUGCUGCCCGCGCCGCGCCGACCGCCGGCUCCACGCCGUCUCACAGGACCUGCAGCGCUGCCCCUGUGCCUUCAGCCCUCGGGGGGACCCCGCAAGGGACAGCAAGGCGGCCCCCGGGCGCCCCGGGGAGGACGGCGAGGCUCGGGGCAGUGGCAGCAGAGCAGAGGAGACAGCCCUGCCCACGGGCAGUGGCCACCGGCAGCGGCCCCUGGGCGAGUCCCGGCUGCAGGGCGCGCAGACCUCGCUGUGUUCCCAGCUGCAUGAGUAGGUUUGCUGGCGGAGAAACACCCGCGGGUCCAUCCGACUGACUGGGAACAGCCGAGAGCUGGGAGGAGAGCGCUUCCCCGGCCGGGUCAUCGCUGCUCCGGCCUCUCCUCUGCCCGCCUUGGCCGCCGCGCUCCCCGGGGACCACAGCCCGUGGCCAGCCCCAGGCUGCUGCCCGGCUUCGGGCACGGCCGGGGUUGCAGAAGCAGCGCCAGGGGUGACGGUGCUGGCAGGAGCCUGCGGUGCCUGCACCGACCCGGAGAGGAGGAGGAUCUCCCUGGGAACGCUGGUGGUCUUGGGACAGCACCAGCUCUUUCGUGCUGGAGACCUGGAGCUGGGGAGAAGCUCUGGAGCUGCUCACCAAGGGGCAGCACAGCCUCAGGGAUGUGUGGACAGGGGACAAACUCCCGUCUGGGGUGUUCCUGGCACGGCUGGCAGCGGGAUGUGGAGACUGCCAGCUCUGCUUUCUUGAAGGACAAAGGACCCUAUUGUCCCAGGCUUGGCCAGUUUCGGACAGUCUGCUGAGAAGGAGAGAAGAGCCUCCUGCAGGCUCGAGCCCUUCCCAGGAUUUCCAUCCCUGCCCCAGCUGCUGCAUUCCAGGGCCGAGCGCAAUCCAGGAGCUGCAGCGAUGCCUUCAGCAAAGGAAAAGCUCAGGGGAAUGAACGAGGAGAGCUCCGAGCACGGAGCGCUUCCAAAGGCAGCGAACUGGGAUCGCCUCGGCUCUCUCGGCAGUUUCUCCCUCUCCUUUGGGACAGAUGUCCCUGGGGGACGGGAGGUGGAUUCUCAUCUCACAGAGAUGCCCUGCCCACGCUGCUGUCAGCAUGGUCAGUGUCUGCACAGUGUUUGUCCCGGUUUGUGUCCCCCCUGCCGCGUGAAAUAAACCUCUGGA